rnacentral:lncRNA from 1 species
GGAAAUCGGACGGAUCGGAUCGGAAACAGCCCUUUCGGAAAAUUUCCGAUUUUUUUCGGAACUGUAAUAUAGGUUCCGAUUCCGAUUCCGAUUUUUUCGGAAUUAAAGAACUGAUUCCGAUUCCGAUUUUUCCGGAAAUUUCGGAAAAUCGGAAAUUUUCGGAAUUACUUGUUUUCGGAAAUUUUCGGAAAUCUUCGGAAUAUUCGGAAUUCGUAAACCGAUAAGUGAAGACAGAACCCCCAAAGCUGUACAAAAAAUUGAAAAAAAACAAAAAAAAAUUGAAACAAGAUCCACGAUUCAUAUGUAACAAACAAGCACCCCAAGGCUAUACAAAAAAUUGAAAAAAAACAAAAAAAAUCGAAGCAAGAUCUACGAUUUAUAUGUAAAAGACAAACAGUUUAUAUGAUUUAAAUCAUAUAAAUAAUUUCUGAAAUAAUUAAAAAAAAAAACACAAGAUUUGCAGCGAAGUAGAGAAAUUGAUGGAGGAGAAAGUCGAGAUCUGUAGCUUCGCAAGGAUCGGAGAAGAAGAAAAUUAGAACGGAUCAGAAAUGAGAUAAGUGGAGAUCUGCAACUUCGGAUGGAGAAAGUCAAGAUGCGCUGAUUCGAAAGGAGAAGAAGAGAGCGGCAGCUUCGUAAGGAUGGAGAAGAAGAAAUGGCAAACUAAGAAGAUGGAAAGUAGAAAGAGAGAGAGAGAUAGUUCAUUAGGAAAUAGGCGGUGCAGCGGCGCUGAUUUGAGG